rnacentral:rRNA from 1 species
UAAGACAGAGGGUGCAAACGUUGUUCGGAAUUACUGGGCGUAAAGCGUGUGUAGGCGGCUCUGCAAGUCGGAUGUGAAAGCCCCGGGCUCAACCUGGGAAGUGCACUCGAAACUGCUGAGCUUGAGUAUCGGAGAGGUUGGUGGAAUUCUCGGUGGAGAGGUGAAAUUCGUAGAUAUCGAGGGGAACACCAGUGGCGAAGGCGGCCAACUGGACGAAUACUGACGCUGAGACACGAAAGCGUGGGGAGCAAACAGGAUUAGAUACCCUGGUAGUCCACGCCGUAAACGAUGGGUGCUAGGUGUCACGGGCUUUGACUCUUGUGGCGCCGUAGCUAACGCGUUAAGCACCCCGCCUGGGAAGUACGGCCGCAAGGCUA